AUUGAACGCUAGCGGGAUGCUUUACACAUGCAAGUCGAACGAGUGGCGGACGGGUGAGUAAUAUAUCGGAACGUGCCCCGUCUCGGGGGAUAACUACUCGAAAGAGUGGCUAAUACCGCAUACUCUUGGCGCGGCCGAUAUCGGACUAGCUAGUUGGUGGGGUAAAGGCUCACCAAGGCAACGAUCCGUAGCUGGUUUGAGAGGACGACCAGCCACACUGGGACUGAGACACGGCCCAGACUCCUACGGGAGGCAGCAGUGGGGAAUUGUGGACAAUGGGGGAAAGCCUGAUCGAGCCAUGCCGCGUGUAUGAGAAGGCCUUCGGGUUGUAAAGUACUUUUGGCAGAGAAGCGGUAUCUGCAGAAUAAGCACCGGCUAACUACGUGCCGGCAGCCGCGGUAAUAC
rnacentral:rRNA from 1 species